GGAGAAGGGAGAUGGCGUUUCUUAUCCUGUAGAUGGGAAAUUACAUGGGAGGCUGCAGCUCUGUGGAAGGCCAGUCAGGCAAGGAGUGGGAAGGAGAUUGACAGAGCUGAAGGAGCAGGUAUAGAAGAUAGUGAUCAAGAAAAACUUACAGUGAAGUGGAACCAUUAACAUGCAUUAAACGCUUCAGACGUCUGGUUUCUGUCACCACUGUGAACAAUUCUGACU